CCCCCCCCCCCUCCCCACACUCUCUCUCUCUCUCUCUCUCACACUUCGGAAAUCUCUUCAUUGUCUCAUCUCUACCACUACCCACAAACCCACAGCCACAGCCACCACCACCCACAACCACCACCACCACCACCACCCACAACCACCACCACCACCCAAAAAUCAAGCCUAGUUAGGUCCAAAAACAAAUGGGUCAGGUCUAGCCCGACCCAUUUCUCUCAUCCGAACUCUCUUAACAGAAACCCAUGGCUUGAGCUACCUGAUCUCAUCACCUCAAACCGGCACCGCCACCACUGGAAGCGGCUUGCUCCUCAUCAAAAACCCUUACCGAGAUCUCUCUAAUCUAGGUUCGAGCUCUCUCUCUCCCUCUAGACCUUGAUCGACCUUUCCGAUCAACAUUCCUUUGAGCUUUGAAUUCGACCACUCUGUUUUGUCCAACUUGGCUCGCAAAGUUCCAGGCACUAGUGAAGCGAGGAAACGCAGUGAACACACUACACAACACAAUCACUUUUGAAAGUUCUCAAGAAAGAAUAGGAGGAAAGGAGAGCCAAAGAAGAGAAUACAGGCAAAACCAUAAGAACUGAUUGCAAAAAGAAGAGGCACUAUAAGUUCGUGUGAUCAAAGCAAGUGAAGUUGGUGAAAGACUUAAGGUAUUUCUUGCAAAUUACUUUAUAGCAAUGGAUAAGAGUUGGAUGAAAAUUACUAAUAGAAGGUCGCGAGAAUAUUUAGAUGGAGUUCAACAGUUUCUGAAUUUUGCAUCUAACCAUGCAUAUUCAGAUGGAACAAUUUCAUGUUCGUGUAAA